GAGUUUGAUCCUGGCUCAGAAUGAACGCUGGCGGCAGGCCUAACACAUGCAAGUCGAACGGGUCCUUCGGGACUAGUGGCGGACGGGUGAGUAACGCGUGGGAAUAUGCCCUUUGGUUCGGAAUAGCCUCGGGAAACUGGGAGUAAUACCGGAUAAGCUCUUCGGAGGAAAGAUUUAUCGCCAAAGGAUUAGCCCGCGUUGGAUUAGGUAGUUGGUGGGGUAAUGGCCUACCAAGCCGACGAUCCAUAGCUGGUUUGAGAGGAUGAUCAGCCACACUGGGACUGAGACAC
rnacentral:rRNA from 1 species